rnacentral:lncRNA from 1 species
AGCAAGUGAGUGGUGCUGGGGUGCUGGGGAGGACCGUCCUGGCCAGCAGGGGCCUCACAGUCUAGUAAUAAGGACACAGCAAUUACAGGAACUUCUAGAGCCAGUUCUCUUCAGGAGCAUGCCAGGCUGAAGCUUUGUCCUAUGGAGAAGCAGAAAAGGUCAGAGGAGGAGAAAGAAAGAGCCCUUCCCGGUCAAGGAGCCAGCCAGGGAGGGAGACAAAAGGAAGGAGGCUCCAUGGAGGUGCAAUGUGAUUAGCUGGCCUUCUGCUCUGACCACCGUGACUUCCCUGCCUGAAACCAUGUCUUCCCCUCCAUGAUACAAGUCACAAGAUGAAAUAAAUCCUUCCUUCCCUAAAAUGGGUAUUUUUGUCUCAUCAACAAGAAAGUUAACUUAUGUAAAGCUGGCUCUAGGGAAGUCAUUAGGAUUUGAUGAGGUCAUGAGACUAAGGUCCUGGUGAUGGUAGUAGUGGCUUUUGUAGAAGGAAAGGAGGAGGAGAAGGAGAAGGAAGAAGAGGAGGAGGAGGAGGAAAAGGAAGAGGAAAAGGAAGAGGAGGAGGAAGAGGAGGAGGAGGAGGAAAAGGAAGAGGAGGAGGAAGAGGAGGAGGAAGAGGAGGAGGAUCCAUGCUGUCUCACCACAUUGCCCCCUGGUUAUACUAUGAUGUUUCAGAUGAGUCUUCAUCAGAUGCCAGGCAGAGCUGGCACCAUGCUUGGGCUUUCAGCCUCCAGAAAAAUAGCAAAAGAAAUUUCUAUUCUGUUCUCUUUUCCAGAAAAACAAGCAACAACAAUAAAACCCCACAUUUGUUCUAAAGCAAUGAUAGAUAAAGAGAAACCUCUUCUUUUCAUAAUGACAACAGAUAAACACAGAAAGAAUAUGGAGUUCUUUUAAAAAAUAAAAUCACAAAUUUGCCAACAUUCUAAUAAAAGUUAUUAAGAUACAGGAUCAUCAAAUGAUACUAAAUCUAGGAAGGGCAGGUGUGAGGAGCUACAGAAUUGUCAAGACAAUAUCAGCAUUUCUUAUAAAACAGUAACUGGGAGAAAUAGUAACUAGACAAUGCAGAAAAUAGACAACCUCUUUUCUGUGUGAUGGAAAUUAACACCAAUAACAAGGACUAUUCUGCUCAUCUGAGCUUGGUACCCAGGGUUGCAUCACUUAAUAGUAUUCUCACCCACACCACACAAUCCAAAUCUACCCACGAGGAAACAUCAGGAAACUCCAGUGAAGCUGAUCGUCUUCAAAGACAUCAAUACAACAAAAGACUGGAAAGGGCAGAGGAAUGGCUCCAGAUCAGCAUCAUGACAGCACAAUCUACAAUCCCAGACUGGAUCCCGCCUCUGAGAAAUUACCAGCAGAGCAAAUGAAAUCGGAAUAGAGACUGCAGAUCAGAUGAAAGUCCCGUCUGAAUGGGAGACUGCAGGAUUUAUAUGCUUCAGUGAGACUGUGUGCUUGCUCUUGUGAAGUGCGUGUAUAGUAUUAAAGUGUGGAGGGCUGGGUAUCUGUACUAUCUCUCAAAUGAGUUAUAUAGAAAGGUUAUAUAUCAAGGAAUAGAAAGUUAUAAAGCAAACACAGGAAUCAUCAUCAAAAAAAAAAGAAGAUAACAUGUGUAGCAAUGAAUGUUUUCUUUUCUUUAAUUUUCUCCCAAACAAGCAUAUCCACACUGACAUGGCAGUACCAAUGAAGACCUGCAUAGGAGGGCCUGAGUCUGCUCAUUGGACCAACUUGUGAGAGGAAAGUAUUCAGGUAUUUGUGUCAAGGUGUAUAAUCAAGUUGACAAAACCCACCAUCAUCCUAGAGGGAUGCUGUCCAAGGAGCCUCGCUUGCUUGGUGAAACACUCUCUUGUGGGUAGAUCCCUACAAGUUGGCUACCUGGUAAGCUUUGUGGGUUCUCCAUCCGGUUUACUCUGUUUUUAGGGGCACCUCUGAAGAUAGCUGUAUGAAGAUGAGGAAAACCCCACAGAUUUCACAAGCAUCUCUACAAGACUUCCUGUUUUCCACUUCUCCAUUUGUCAGACUCAGCCCAUUAACUGUGGUUCAGUUUUGGUCCAAAGCUUUCUAUCGGACUCCUCUGCUAGCCAAGGAGUACAGUCUUAUCUGAAUCCCAGAGGCACAUGCCCUGAGUAUCCCACCACUUGAAGAUUGCUAGUGAGGUCAGAGGUGAUAUUAGCAAAUGUGAUUUUCCAAUACUGAACCAUGAAAUAUGUCACCGUUUGCAAAAUAAGUGCAGCACAGGUAACCGAUAUUUCCAGGUGAUCAAUUCAUGAUGUAAAAUUCCAUCAAAGAAUAAGACGGAUCAAUGGAUUUUAAUGUAACAGCAUAUUAAAAGGUUUCCAAGCUGUAACUCAAUUUAAGAAACUACCAUUUGUUGAAUGUUGCUAUAAUUUCCAUGAAAGCCCACACUUAGCAGAAUGCAAUCAAAGCAAAUAUCCCUCACUUUUCUACCUCCUUGACUGCGUGAGGCCAUGUUGGAUUCGUAUACUCAUAUAAAACAAUAUGACAACAGACUAUCUAAACACCUCUAUAGCCACUGAGCUAAUUUCUAUUAAGAAAGACACUAAAGGGAUUUUUGAAAUUGGAAAACUCAGCAUCCUGGGCAUUGUGGUGUGCACACCUACAUGGCAGCAGCCAGCACUUGGGGAAUGAAGGCAAAAGGUACAAGGCCAGCCUUGGGCUAAUAAGGAGAGUUCAACUCUGGCCUAGGUCAUAUAAUACCUUGUCUCAAAACAAACAAAAGAUCAAAAAAAGUAAAAUCAGGUUGCUGUUCUUGCUAAUUUUGUUUUGAAA